CAAGGGACAUGAAAGCAGUGAGGGCUUGAAUGAUCUAUCGGAGGCCCAGGUUUACUGAGCCCCCCAACUUUUACCUCUCUUAGGUGGAAGUAAAGACUGUCUGUCACCUUUACUCAUGAGUCCACAAAAACGAACUGACUCCUGAAAACCAAGGGCAAGAGCUUUCCCUGAGUGCCAUCAAAGUAACUGACUUUUGAGAAAUUAUACUGUUUCGCAGUGUUUCAGGUAAAUGCAUUUUUUUAAAGAAUUAUUCUCAGUUUCACUGUGUUGGUAUUUCCAGAUUCUCAGUUCACACUGUUCUAGAAUGUAUCCUGAUGUUCGUUAUUCAUUCAGUAAACUUUUUUGGGGGGGCUGCUAUUCAGUGCUAACCACUAGAAUCACAAAGAUAAGGGAGAGAAUAAAUACCCGGGGAAAUGGGUGCCAGGGUGCCACACACAGACCUUGCUAGGAAUCCCUGAGGAGGAGCACCCACUCCCUGGAGGAGGGUGGGACAGAAAGGGUGCACGAGUUCAAAGGCCUGGGCAUGUCAGCACAGCGCAGGUCUGUCCGUGCUGGGCGUAAAUAGAAAGGGCGACUGGAAGGGACCGUCUCCCCAGAUGCAGGUGUUUGUACUCAUUCUGGAAGCACUGGGAAGCCUAGGAAAGGCUCUAAGCAGAGAAGCAGAUUUUCUCUAGCUACAGAUCUUCUCUAGUUAAUCUGCUCAUGGGGACUUGAUCUUAUUCACAUGCGAGGGCCCCACCUCCAUAGAGGCCCUCUGCAAAUCUAAGCAUUUUUAAUGGAGGGAGAAUAAAAUGACUUCUGCGUAAGAUAGAGACUAGUUUUACAAGGUUUCUCUUUACGUUGCAGUGGCUCAAAAGGCCUUAAUAAAAACGAGGGCCCCGAACUUAUUCUUACUGUGAGCAGAGCAUGCUGUAGCUGACCAGAGUGGGCAGAGUCCUGGUUUUGAAUACAGCAGUCCCCGUGGGUUCCGUGGCAUCCCUCAGAGCCUCUCUUCAUCCUGUUGAUGAUCUGGUCCUUGGCCCUUUUCCUAUUCCUUCUGAAAUCCAACAUUUUACCUUUAAAGCAUUCUACCACAUUCACAAAUGGGGUCAAGAAUGAAAAAAAUGGUUGAUUUUAUAAACAUUUUAGAAUAGCAUUUUCACAGGAAGUCCCUAAAUGCCAUGUGCUUUCUUGAGGGCCUUGGUACAGAGGUAUAUUUAUGCCCUUCAGAGAGUCAGAGUCAUAUAGAGAAAAUAUAUUAUUCUCUGCUUCAUUCCAAUUUUGUUAUUAAUAAAAUGUGUAUGGAAUAUUGAAACAAAAUUUAAAAUAGUAUUAAUUUAUUUUCCUGGUGGUGAUGGUGAUUGUUUAAUUCGUUGACAGUUAAGUGACCAGAAAGAAAAAAAAAAUCAUGAAUUUUGUCUUAUAUAUUUUAAUAACUUGAAACAAGUUUUGCCAAAUAAUCUAUACUUUUACUGACACAUGAGCUAAAAUUCCAAAUGUUUGCUGUAUGUUUGCCUCUGUGCCAACACAGGUUGUCCUUACAAAGCAUUGCUGUUCUAAUUGAGAUAUAUUUAUUGAUGGUAUGGCUGAACUUGUCGAGGUUGAUUAGGAGCAUGGAUGACAUAUAGCUAAUGUGCUGAUUCCAUGUAUUUAUCACUAACGGGAGCCUUAUACUGUAUAUAAGUGUUUACUUUAUACUGUACAUAUUUUUAAGUUUAUGAAGUUAUAGUAAUUAAGAAGACAGUGUGUUACCAGCAUGGCAUCAUCAAACAGACCAAUGAUGCAGGAAAAUAGCUUCACAGUAGGCCCUAUCACAUCACAGAAACCUAACUCGUGAGGCAGUAGAGUCUGAUGGAAAGUAGCUCUCCCCAGGCCCAACAGUGAGCCUCGGGCCUUAGACAAAUACGGAGUGUCAGUGACUGCAGGAGUGUAAAUGUGAUAUGUCACAGCCUAGAUGUGAAGCACAACAGCUUUGGGGACAGGAGAAACCCUUGCCCUUGGGUUAUACGAAGAAUUCUGAGAUAUGAUACCAAGAGUAUGACUCUUUUUAAAAAAAUUAAUAAAUUGGACUUCAAAAUUAAAAGUUUGUGUUCUGAAAAUCCCUGUUAUAAAAAUGAAAAAUAAGUCACAGACUGGGAGGAAUAUUUACAAGUCAUGUUUGUGUACAGAAAUGCAAAUAACUCCUCAAAGUCAACAAUUAAGAGAACAACCAAUGCCCUAAAAUAUGGAUAAAGGUUUUUGAAAAGAUGUGUUACCAAAAUGCCUCAAACCAAAAUUCAAUUUUUUUUAGUAUAUUCAGAGAGUUGUGCAAUCAGUCUUUAGUAGAUUCAUCGAGUUGGCUGGCCAGCAGAAAGAUCCAGCAUCAUUUGUCAGUAGACUAAUACAAGAAAAAUGCAAGUUAAAACCAUAGUGAGAUACCACUACAUGCCUAUUACAAUAGUUAAAGUUGUUGGGUGGAUAAUGCAAAUUACAAGGAUAUUGAGGAACUGGAUCUCUCAUGCAAACUGGUGGGGUGCAAAUGAGCAUAGCCAUUGUGGAAAAGAUAAAGUUGACCAUACACUUACAGUCUGACUCAGAGAUUCUUCUCCUACAUUUUUACCCAAGUGAGAUGAAACCUGUGUUCACAUACACAUUUGUAUGCCAAUGUUUACAGCAGCUUUAUUUAGAAUCUUGCAAAACUGGAACAAUCUAGAUGUCCCCAGCUGGGGAAACUGGUAUACCCGUAGGAAGGGGCAUGGGAUGCACAUAGGUGAGGCUCAACACACGGCUCCUCGUCGGGCGGUUCUAUUCCCAGGCCAUCCCGGGGAAGGCAAAGCUCCAGGGAAGCACAGGUCAGUGGCGGCCCAGGGAUCAGGAAGGACUCACACCCACAGGUGGGCGAGAGGAUGUGCCCUGCUUAGAAAACAACCUGGCCGUUCCCGCGCAGUCUGCAGGGUUGCCACGCAGCCCAGCAGCCCACUCCUGGAUGUUGAAAACCUACGUCCACACAGAAACCUGGGCAUGAUAUUUACAGCAGCAUUAUGAUAGCCAGGUGCCCAUCAACUGGCAAGUGGGUACAUAAAAUAUAGAAUAUCUAAUACCAUAAAAUACUACUGGUAAUAAAAAGAAACGAAGUACUGAUACGUGCUGCAAUGUGGAUGAACCUUGAAAAUAAUGUGCUGAGUGAAAGAAGCCAGUCACAAAGGACACAGGACUCCUUCUAUAUAAAACGCCCAAACAGGCAUAUCCAUAGAGGCUGAACGGUCAGCGGUUGCCUUGGACUGGAGAGUCUGGGGUCAAGUGGGCGGUGGCUGGUGGGGCUUCCUCUGGACUGAUGGAGCGUCCUAGGCUGAUCAUGGUGGUGGCUGAGUGUGCUGUCUGAAUGUGUGAGAAUCACUGAAGUGAGCGGCGUGCAGGGCACGUGGACUGUAUCUCAAGGAAGCCAUUGUGAAACUGUGGAGUGCAGAGUGCGGUCUUGCUCCUGUCAGGACGGGCGCAGCUCGGGGGCAGCACUGCCCAGCAAGUGCACAGCCCUGAGCUCCAUCCUCAGGGGGCAACUGAGAAAGGGAAGGAGGAAAGAAACCUGAGUGAUAAAAACGAGGUCAAGACUAGAGUUGUGAUGAAGACUGAGGAGCUACUGAGGGAGAAGAUCCAAGGGUUAGCCAUGUAAAAAUGUGGAAAUCUGGGUGUCAGAAGGCCCCCAAGUUAAAAAAAAUCAGAAAUAAAAUAUUUUCAACAAGUAUGUAAAGAAAGUAUCUUUACUAUGGGGAGAGCUCACACAGAUCAAUAAAGAAAUCAUUUGUCUUAUUUGAUUAAUAAAUGUAUAUUAUAUUCCUAUUUAUUUUUGCAAUGAAAUAAUUAAAUAAUUAGAAGCAAUAACUGAGGGCUGGAGUUGUAGCUCAGUGCUUGAGCACUUGCCUCGCAAGUGUGAGGCACUGGGUUCGAUCCUA
rnacentral:lncRNA from 1 species